ensembl:lncRNA
AUGGAGGAGGGAAUGCUGGAAGCUAAGCAAAGAGCUAUACGAGGAAACUUUAUUUUACUUUUUUUUUUUUUCAAAAGUUUCCUCAGUACACAAACCUUAUUUAUAGACAGUAAGAAGAAGGGAUUAUCCCAUGAACUGAGAUAUUUUAAUAUGAAGAGAAGUCCAGCAAUGCCCAUGAGGUUCCCUGUCCUUUUUUGUUUGCUUUUACAGGGGUUAGCUUUAUGUCUGAUGGUUAUGUUUGUUUGGUGCACCUGUCCAAGUGGAGUUUCGAAGAGCUGCUGUGGCCUAACAAGGAGAUAGGCAGGUGAGGCACGAGCGGGUAGAGAGCGGAUCGUGUGUUUAGUAAACAGGGAAAGUAGGGCAGAAAGAGCUGAGCAAACAGGCCAGGGUCAGAUUCCCUCAGGAGGUGAGGGACGGGAUGAGGGCGCAGGGACUGUAGGGCCUUGCAGGGCGUGACCUGAUGCACAGACCGCAGUGCUCCUCCGUUUUCAGAGGGUGCCACUGAAACGCACCCGAAUGAUGUGGGUUUUGAUACGACAGCGUGCGGUGGAAUUUCUGGAAGCACCCGAGGGUAUUCUUGCUUAGGCUGUGGACGCUGUGAGUCAGAGCUGCAAAGACUUUGCUUUAAUCUGGCUCCGUGGCCUGGCCGAGCACCCUCACAGCACCUCUCUCUUUCUCUCCUGACCUCUGACAGAGCUCCCAAAACAUUUUGACUAGGCCAGACACCAAAGCUCCAGCUCUGAUUUUUUUUCCUUCUCUUUCAUCCUUGGUAAAGAAGCAGCAUUUAUUAACGCAGGCUUCUGAUUGUGCGAAGCAGAGCUGUACGAAAUAACCGCAUGGAAGCAGCAACACACCAUGUGCGGUGUUGAUGCUCAAGCAGCGGCUCUGACUAUGUGAGAGACUUGGGACAAGCACUUUUCUUGGCAGGAGAGUCCACCCUACUUGCUGUUGUGAGGCUUGGUGACUCAAGGACCAGAGAAUGUUCUUUCAAUGCCAAGGUAAGGAUGAAUGUUACUCAUGUCCUAAAAAGAGCACAAGCCCUUCCUUUCAGGGGAGGUGAGUGUCUGAGCACGCACGUGCUUUGAUCUUUAUUGCUCCAAGCAGAAAACGUUCUCCAGAAGCUGGCGGAUACAGAGACAAGCAGGGAUGGCAGGAAGGACAAAAAAGGGCACGUGAAGCUGGAGUCCAGAAAGUGAGAAGUGCGAGUCAAGGCAGCUAAAGACAAAAGCAUGAUCCUAAAUGUCUCUCGUCAUCAGGUCAGGAUAUCCAUCCUGCUAAAAUGUUGCUCUGUCAUUCCGAUCAGAGGAGAAAAGUUAGCAGAGGUAUGUGUCCGCAGCUCACGUAAGGGUCGUUUUUUCCUUCUCUGAUGCCUUGUAUUUGGGCCCCUGAUGUAAACACAAAAAAAACCCCGCUGCAUUUGUGUAUUAGCUCUCUUAUGAAAGUCAUUCCAGAGAAGCAUCGGUGGGUGAACAUUCAUGCAGUACAGCUUCUCCAAGCCUUUCUGCUAGGGCCUAAGGCUCAGUGUGUCUGUGGCUGAGCCCUCCUUGGCAGCAGCCCUCCUGUCCUUUCACAUGGCAUCUGUAGAGACUGACAGUGUGCAGUGCGCUGUGAGGCUGCGGGCAGCGUAACAAAACAGAAUAAGGCACCAGCUAGGAGAGGUGACUUUGUUUUGCAACAAAAUUAUUUCAUUUCCUCACACUUGUCCUUCCAUAUUCAUAAGCACCAGGACGCUUGAACUUCCUGUGGUGACACGGCAGAUGAGUUCCCAUCACGUGUCCUGAGUGUCCUGGGUUUGCCUGACAGGCAGAUGCGGUGUUUGGAUGUGUCUUUUGUGCUGUUUUGGAGUUUCCAGUAGUUUUCAUCUUUUGUGCGUUCAUCUUGCCCCACUGCUGUAAGUCAUCGGGCAACAGUGCGCUUUCCAUAGGCACUGGUGGCUUAAGUCACAGGGACCCUUCUUCCUUUUGGCUACAGCGUUGUAGUUUGUUCUGUCUUCUUCUUAGAUGCAAUCUAAGGGCAUUGGCUUUGAUGAAUCCUUACCUGUUACGGGUUUUUCUUUGGAGGCCAGAAGACACCUACAGGAAUACAGGAUAAAAUUGUGAAGCUGGUUGUUAGGAUAAAAAUCCCAAUUCUUUCAAAGUCCUAGGAAAAAAAAAGUAAUGCAAAGAGGAAAAUUGCAGACAUCAGCCCGACCGUCUUUAAGGACAUGGUGGUAGUACAGAGGUUGCUUCCACAAAGACAAAAAGACCACCGAGACCGAUCGCUCUUGCAACUAAGAAUUUUUGCCCAAGUGAUGGGAGAGAUGGCUCAGUCCCAGAAUUGUGGUGAAUUGGGUUUGGGGCUCUGGAGGCAGUAUUUAGAAAAUGUGGAUCAUUAUAGAACUGUUUUCUAAAUUAAAAACUGGCCUAAGGAAUAUAUAGGUUUUGAGGCCUUCUGCCUGUGGCUGAAUUUUGCUUGUCAUGAUGCCAUGUAAGCAGCGAUAUUUGUAAGUUAUUUUAAAGGCAACUUCUCAGUAAAUAUGUAUUCAUUAUUUCUCUUACAACAGGAAAUUAUUUAGGUUUAUUACUGGAGUUAAUGCCAAAAUUAAUUCUUGUUUUCACAAGUUUUGCUCUCUAUGCUUAAUUGAAUACAUCUGCAGUAUGACAACAACAAAAAAAUCAAAUAGAUAAUAUAAUAUCAUCAAUGUUUAGGAAGGAUAAUGCAAUUUCUGUGAAGUCAUUUGCACUGAAAUUAAUUACAGUGACAGACACUGGAGUUCAAUACUAAGUUAAUUAAUAUUGAAUACGUACAACAUUUAUGAUGAUUUAAGAGUGAAGGUGAUAAAACUGAUAUUUGGUGAUUAUUAGCGUAGAAACAAAGCAGAAAAGCAAUAAAACAGAAAAACGUGAGGUAAAAGUGGGUGUU